AGAGUUUGAUCCUGGCUCAGGAUGAACGCUAGCUACAGGCUUAACACAUUGCAAGUCGAGGGGCAGCAUUGUCGAAGCUUGCUUUGACAGAUGGCGACCGGCGCACGGGUGAGUAACGCGUAUCCAACCUUCCCCAUAGUAGGGCAUAGCCCGUAGAAAUGCGGAUUAAUACCCUAUGUAUUCCGAGGAUGACAUCUGAUUCGGAACAAAGGUUCACCGCUAUGGGAUGGGGAUGCGUCUGAUUAGGUAGUCGGCGGGGUAACGGCCCACCGAGCCAUCGAUCAGUAGGGGUUCUGAGAGGAAGGUCCCCCACAUUGGAACUGAGACACGGUCCAAACUCCUACGGGAGGCAGCAGUGAGGAAUAUUGGUCAAUGGGCGCGAGCCUGAACCAGCCAAGUAGCGUGCAGGAUGACGGCCCUAUGGGUUGUAAACUGCUUUUAUACAGGGAUAAAGUGCACCACGUGUGGUGUUUUGUAGGUACUGUAUGAAUAAGGACCGGCUAAUUCCGUGCCAGCAGCCGCGGU
rnacentral:rRNA from 1 species